ACUUCGUUUCCUCGGUGCGGGGAGAGACCGAAAUCCUCUCCCUCUUCGUCCUCCCUCCCCUCUCCCUUUCUCCCAAACACUAUCGGCUUUCUUCGUGGUGAUCGCCGCCGCUCGAGCAAACCCUCGGCGCACGUCUUCGCGACGUGCCCUCCCGUUCCCGGGAGCGGAAGGUCAUCUCGAUCCCUAACGAUUUAUGGUCCUAGGGAUCUCUCGAUCCGUUUGGGAUACAUCUCUUUGAUCGAGUCGGAUACGGCGAUGGAGGGGAACAAAGACGAUGCUUUGAAGUGCCUCCGGAUCGGUAAGGACGCAUUGCAGUCCGGUGAUCGGACUCGCGCCGUCAAAUUCCUCUCCAAGGCUCGCCGUCUAGAUCCCACUUUGCCGAUCGACGGCCUCCUCUCCGCCGCUGCUGACUCUGAUGGCAAAUCCGGCGGUCCCGCUGAUUCCGCUGCGUCGUCGAACGCUUCCCAACCUGACGAGCCAUCGAGCGGUACUUCUUCCCGUGCUGCCGCUGCAUCCGUCUCUUCUGCUUCCAAGGUUAGGAUUUCCUCGGAUGGUCCUGGGUCUUCGAGGGACUACACUGAGGAGCAGGUGACCGUCAUCAGUCAGAUUAAGAAGCUGAAUAAUUACUAUCAGAUCUUGGGGGUUGAAAAAGGAUGCACUGUGGAGGAAGUUAGGAAGGCCUACCGGAAGCUCUCUUUGAAGGUGCAUCCUGACAAGAACAAGGCGCCUGGUGCUGAUGAAGCCUUUAAGGCUGUAUCUAAGGCCUUCCAGUGCUUGAGCGACAAUGAGAGCAGGAAAAGGUAUGAUCUUCUCGGUUCAGAUGAGCCUGAUCGUCCGGUGGCACAGCGUGGCAAUCAUGGUUUCAAUGGCUUUUAUGACGAGGACUUUGAUGCUGAUGAGAUCUUCAGGAACUUCUUUUUUGGUGGAGGGCCUCCGGUUGCCACUCAUUUUCGCACUUUCCGCUUUAGAACUGGUGGCACGGGUGGGGCGAGUGCUCAUGAGAUGCAUGGUUCUGUCAAUCAUAAUCUCCGGAUGCUCAUACAGAUCUUGCCUAUCAUUAUCCUGUUCUUGCUGAACUUCCUUCCAUCUUCUGAACCAAUAUAUAUGCUGUUCCGAUCCUAUCCUUAUGAGCACAAGCUAGAAACAUCAAGGGGUGUGGCAUACUUUGUUAAGUCAGUGAAAUUUGAGGAGGAAUAUCCUUAUGAGAGCCCAAAACGCAUUGCUUUGGAGGAACAUGUGGAGAGUGACUAUGUUGGGAUCCUUGAACAGAAUUGCCGGGUUGAGUUGCAGAGACGACACUGGGGACUGUCAUACCAAACACCACAUUGCGAUAGGCUUCAGAAGUUUGAGGCAGCAGCUUGAUGCCAUCAACUCAAGUAUCUUUCGGAUUCUCUCUUGAAUUGGACAAAAUCAAUAAACCUUGAGCAAGCAGCUGAUUCUCCUUCUCUUGAAAAUUGAUCUUUAUGCAGAGGUUUCAGACUGAUAUAUGGAUGUGGCCAAGACAUUGUGUUGGUCCUUCAAGGCUUUGGCUUUUCCAUAGGAUGCGGAUGGAUCCUUAAAUAUUGUGUUUUUUGAGUCUGCAGUAUAAAUUAGAUAUAUAUUACCAGUCCCAAAUAUUAUGCCUUGCGGAAUUUAUUGUAUAUGGCAUACAGACCGCGCUUGAAUAGUAAAUGUGAUGGAUUGAAAACCUCUUCCUACUCGACAUUAUUUUAGCUGUCCAAAGUUUUGAAGUCUGACAUGAAACUUAUUCCUGCUCUUUA